CCUACGGGAGGCAGCAGUGAGGAAUAUUGGUCAAUGGGCGCGAGCCUGAACCAGCCAAGUCGCGUGAGGGAGGACGGCCCUACGGGUUGUAAACCUCUUUUGCCGGGGAGCAACGGGCACCACGUGUGGCGUCACUGAGAGUACCCGGAGAAAAAGCAUCGGCUAACUCCGUGCCAGCAGCCGCGGUAAUACGGAGGGUGCGAGCGUUAAUCGGAAUUACUGGGCGUAAAGCGCUCGUAGGCGGUAUGUCAAGUCAAGGGUGAAAUCCCCGCGCUCAACGUGGGAACUGCCUUUGAAACUGGCAAACUGGAGUGUGUGAGAGGAUAGUGGAAUUCCAGGUGUAGGAGUGAAAUCCGUAGAUAUCUGGAGGAACAUCAGUGGCGAAGGCGACUAUCUGGCACAUAACUGACGCUGAGGAGCGAAAGCGUGGGUAGCAAACAGGAUUAGAUACCCCAGUAGUC
rnacentral:rRNA from 1 species